ensembl:lncRNA
CAGGCUGGCAUUUUGCUAAGCAAGAAGCGGAGGCUGCUGAUUUGUGUAACACCUGUCAUUAUUUUAAAGCAGAUCAGCAGCUUCAAGAAAACCAUUUUGCAGGGAAAGAAGGAGAUGCAUCAUAGGGUCCAGUGGGGUGGGUACCAGCAAGAGAAAUACGUAAUGCGCUUCAGCUCUGCAGAAACAAGCAGCUGGAACAAGGAGACGCCUCACCCCUGGCCUGCCCAUGUCGGAGGCAAGAGGCAAGAACAGAAGGUGUCUGCUCCUGCAGAUCUCCCCUGUACAAAUUCUCCCACAAAAAGACUUAUCAAGGCCGGUGUUCGCACCCAUCACUUGCAGAGACAUUUGGGGCAGGGGACAAAGUCCACUGCUCCUGUGAGAGCUUGCCAUUGA